CUAAGACUUAUGUGCUAUUAGGAGCACGAAAACCUCCGUACUUUUAAACCGCUUUUGAUAACUAAACUUCAGAAUCGACAAUCGAUUCUGUUAGACUUGUUCUAGCAAAUUUAAAGUAUAUAGAAAAAUAAAUUUUGCGAUUUUUCAAUAUCGCUUACCUAAUGAUCAAAAUGGUGUAAAAUCAACAAAUUCUAAUGAUUAAUGUGUGCCGUUUGGUGUAGAAGUCCUCAAAUCAGAUAAAAUUUUGAUAAAAAAAAUUUUUAUACUACCUACAGGAAGAUUUAUAUCUCUAAUCGAAAAUUUUAGUACUAUAUCAUAACUUUUUUGUAAGAUUUUUAUUUUCAACUGUUGAUUUUAGAUACUUUCGAUCACUAGGUAAAUAAUAUCGAAAAACCACCAAAUUUAUUUUCUAGAUAUUAAAUACACGAGAUCAAGUUUAAUGGAGUCGAUCGCCGAUUCGAAAGUUCCAUUAUCGAAAACAACUUAGAUGCACAAAAACCUCCUUUCUCCUAAUGGCACACUAGCCUACUCUCUCUCUCUCUCUCUCUCUCUCUCUCUCUCUCUCUCUCUCUCUCUCUCUCUCUCUCUAUAUAUAUAUAUAUAUAUAUAUAUAUAGUCUGGCUACUAUGCUAUUAAUAGCACGAAGCAUUUGGUGCUAUCAAAUUUUCUGCCAUUAGAUCUAACUUUUUGAUCAUUUUCACCCGUUAGAUCAUAUUAUUCAACCAACCACCCACUCAACCCUAGAGGACCCACAUCAUUCUAACCGCACAUCUUUUAAUCCAAUGACCAAAAAUUUAGUAGCACCAAUGACUUGAUGCUAUUAAUAAUACAUUAGCUUAGUUCUAUAGAUAUAUAUAUUGGUGG
rnacentral:lncRNA from 1 species